CUGAUGUGAUUUUCUCAUAUGGACUUUGUUCCCACAGCUCUAUGACAACACCAAGCAGCACAGCGAGGCUGAUCGUGCACAGCUGACCCACUGCAUCCUGCUGCAGGCCCGGAUCUGCCCAGAGGAAAUGGUCCUGUUUCUGCAGUCACAGCUGGGCGAGGACUGGGAGGCUGGACGCGUGGCAGCACUGGGUCUGCUCGGUGCUCUGGCUCGCUCUGAUGAGCCCGUGAUGAUGGAGAAGCUGCCCCAG